GCAUUUGGGCAUCCAGCUUUGUGAUUAGAAUAGAGAUUAGAGCACCUCUCGUGGAAUAAAGCGACUCGGAAGCAAAUCUGGGAAGCAAGCAUACCGAUGGGCUUUUUCGUCUCUGGAGAAAGGACACUAAAGUGGACUGCGGCUCUUGUGUAGAAACAGACAACAGAAUAGUAAGUCCUUGACUGACAACAAAUCAUUACAUUAUUAGAAUGUUUUUAAAAGGAGUGCAGUGAAAAAGGCUUCUCCUUUAUACAGUAUUUCUAAGGAUUCGUGAUGUGCAUAUGGUUG
rnacentral:lncRNA from 1 species